GGCAACUUGCCAGAGUGGUUAAUGGGUGAGACUCGAAUGCAAUCCUGCAAAAGUAAUCUCAUGACUUCGGUCGCACAGGUUCGAAUCCUGUAGUUGUCG
rfam:Verruconis gallopava strain CBS 43764 unplaced genomic scaffold supercont1.1, whole genome shotgun sequence.